rnacentral:rRNA from 1 species
UCCUCCCUCUGGCGGCGCGCUUAACACAUGCAAGUCGAACGGAAAGGCCUGCUUUCCCUUGUGGAUUGCGGGUACUCGAGUGGCGAACGGGUGAGUAACACGUGAGUGAUCUGCCCCCAACUUGGGUAUAAGCCUGGGAAACUGGGUCUAAUUCCCGAUAGGACUGCAGGGUGGUGCCUGUGGUGGAAAACGAUUUUCUAGUGGUUGGGGAUGAGCUCGCGGCCUAUCAGCUUGUUGGUGGGGUAAUGGCCUACCAAGGCGGCGACGGGUAGCCGGCCUGAGAGGGUGUACGGCCACAUUGGGACUGAGAUACGGCACAGACUCCUACGGGAGGCAGCAGUGGGGAAUAUUGCAAACUGUGCGGAAGCCUGAUGCAGCGACGCAGCGCGGGGGAUGACGGCCUUCGGGUUGUAAACUCCUUUCGACCGCGAGGAAGCCACCUGGUUGGAAGGGUGGUGACGGUAGUGGUAGAAGAAGCACCGGCUAACUACGUG